UUUUGUGGCCAAACCUGCCUGUCAAAGCCUGAUCUCGUCAGAUUUCAGAAGCUGAGCUAGGGUGGGCCUGGUCUCCUUGGAUGGGAGACCGCUGGGAAUUCCAGGUGACACAAUGA
rnacentral:rRNA from 1 species